CGAGGUGGGGCGGCACCUGGUCGACAGCGGCCGGGUCACGGCGGGCGAGCUGGAGAUGUGCCACAUCGGGGCGCUGUUCGACGCCGCGUUCUUCGUCC
rnacentral:tRNA from 1 species